GAUGAAGAACGUAGCGAAAUGCGAUACGUAAUGUGAAUGGCAGAAUUCAGUGAAUCAUCGAAUCUUUGAACGCACAUUGCGCCUGCCAGCACUCUGGCAGGCAUGCCUGUUCGAGCGUCAUUUCAACCAUCAAGCCCUAGGCUUGCGUUGGAGCCCUGCGGCUGCCGCAGGCCCCUAAAAGCAGUGGCGGGCUCGCUAUCACACCGAGUGCAGUAGAUUACUCUUCGCUCAGGGCGUGUGGCGGGUUCCAGCCGUGAAACCCCCUACUUCUCAAGGUUGACCUCGGAUCAGGUAGGAAUACCCGCUGAACUUAAGCAUAUCAAUAAGCGGAGGA
rnacentral:misc_RNA from 1 species